GGAGAAUGCUGCGACAGAGAAGAGAGAUGAAGAAAGAGACUGUCUGGCUUUGAGAUAGAUGAACACUGUGAAUUUCUGACAUCCACUCUUCAAUCAACUGACUCAUCUCAUCAGAGCUGGGACAUGAGGAAUGGCACACUGGUGGAUGACCGCAAAAAAAAACUCUCUUUUGUUGGACUGAAACAUCCACAAUGUAAACUGAAGACACUGAGGUCAGUACUUUUUGGAGGGGUGAUGAGGAGAACUCAAAGAUUGUUGGACAGUUUGGUCAAAUUGUCACCCUGAGAGCAUUCUCCCGUUGAAUUAUCUGAUACAGAGCAGAAUUCAUGGUUCCUUCUAUUAAGGCAAGUCAUCCAGGUCCUGAGGCAGCAAAGCAUCCCCAAACCAUCUCACUACCACCCCCAUGCUUGACCGUUAGUAUGAGGUUCUUACUGUUGAAUGCAGUUUUAGUUUUUUUGCCAGACAUAAUGGGACCCAUCUCGUCUCAAAAAGGCUCUAGUUCUGAACUGGGAUUAAAUAAACAAUUUUGAGGGGAAAUGUU